UUAGAGAUGGUGCAGGUCAAAGGGGGGCUGCAUCCCUAAUGCAGAGAAAACUGUUGCACUCACUGCACUAGCAGAGCUAGUGUUAACCAGCCACUUGCUGCAAACAUUUUUAUAGAAUAUUACUGUCUACAUAAUAAUUCAUAUAAUGAUAAACUAAAUCUGAAUGUUUCCUUCCUAAUCAGACACAACCAUCAGCAACUUAAAAAACUUAGCUCUAAGAAUUUGUACUAUAUUGCUAUAUAUUCAAUGUAUACUUUUAUUGCAACACAACUGUAUGUCUUUGUUUUUAGCUUUCUUUUGGGACAUUUACCGACAAUGCUGCGGUUGACGAAAAACAAUUUGCUGAUGUAUGAUCAUUUUCUGGAAUUGAACUUCUCAUGUCACCAAAAUACAGCAAGGAUAAAUUCUAUGAUGUUAUGGCCAGCAUGUUUGGAGUGAGGUUCAUGGGGAAGGGUUUACUGACUGAUCGAGAUUAUGAUCAUUGGCAUAAACAGAGGAGAAUUAUGGAUCCUGCUUUCAGCAGAACAUAAUUUUUGCCUAUGUAGCUACGUGAUGGGGUUAAUGGGCACCUUCAAUGAAAAAGCAGAGGAGCUGAUGGAGAGACUAAUGGAGAAAGCAGAUGGAAAGUGUGAGAUUAAAAUGCAUGGCUUGCUCUGCAGUCUGACAUUGGAUGUAAUUGGCAAGGUAACACUUCAGGCAAUAAAGGAGAAUUCAACCCUUUAGCAAAAAAACUCUACCCUCCCCACACCACGUAGACCCGGAAGAUGGCUGCAUGGAAGUCCGAUGCCUGAACCUGCACUG